UACUUACAGCAUGCGCCCCAUUCUGUGAGAGAGAGCGGCGCAAAAAUUCGCAUCAUCCGACGCAGCUCGGGUGAGCGUUCACGUAAUCCCGAAACAUACCGCAUUGUACCCGGUGUAUUCUGACCUGGACUUUCCCAAAAUCUGUAUCACACCGAUAUUGGGUUCAAACGUGAUGCUAUUUAGAGAUUCGAUUUCAUCAUAAGAAAGCUGAGCGUCUUAACUGUGGUUGAUGCCGUGUAUGCAAUUUAAAUACAUAUAUCGACAACUUAGUGGUUUUUUUUUUUUCUUCUCUCAGGAGGAAAAAAAUUUCAACUAUUUAAACUGCUCCCAAAACAAUCAUGCGCAUCAUUUUGAUUCAAUGUGAAAUGAGAACUGCCUAAACAAAAAAUUUCAGCCCAGUACAGAAACUAGACGUAAACCACGAUGUGCAAUCCCUUUCAGGUCUCAUGAAGCACUCCUAUGGGCUUCCUGGGCCUCAGUUGCCCUUGAACCAGAAUAUGACUUACGAUUAGAAGUCUCUUAUGUUAAGCAGUGUGUUGCCUUCAAGACAUGCUCAUUCGUUCAGCCAGAAAUGCGUUUAAGAGAGCUGAGGAAUUAUAAAAGGAAGCUUGGUGCACGGCCGUACCAAAAUUAUACCCAAGAUACGUUGAAUAAUGCCGUUCAGUUGGUCCUUUCAAAGAAAUUGUCAUUGAGGGCAGCACUGAAAGAUUAGUGCAAUAUUCAUCGGAACACCUUCUGGUUGAAGGUCAAACAGGCUCGGGGUUUAGUCGAUCGACCGGCUCAAAAAGUUGGUCGUCAACCUGUUUUUACCGAAAAGGAGGAGCAGAGGUUGAUUGAUCAUGCAAUCGCAAUGUCUUCAUUUGGCUUCCCAAUGACAAAGUUUGACUUGCGUUGUGUGGUGAAGGCGUACCUCGACCGAACGGGAAUGUCUGCUUUCAAAGACGGCAACUUUCCCGGGCUUUUCCAGGUCCACUUUCUGACGACAGGGAUCGGAGCGCCUCAGAGCGCUCGAAGAGGGAGGAGGACAAUCGAGAAGAACCAGCCGAACGCAGAGCGGGUACCCUCUUUCAACCAGCCAAAGACAACGCCGCUCGCGAGAGCGCUCAGAAACGACCAGCCGAAGAUGGCAUAAAUAACUUGCUUUUUUGGCACAAGCUCGCCCAA